UGGGACUACUGGGGUUUCUAAUCCUGUUUGCUCCCCACGCUUUCGCGCCUCAGCGUCAGUUGCAGACCAGAAAACCGCCUUCGCCACUGGUGUUCCUCCAUAUCUCUACGCAUUUCACCGCUACACAUGGAAUUCCGCUUUCCUCUUCUGCACUCAAGUCCUCCAGUUUCCAAUGACCGCUUGCGGUUAAGCCGCAAGAUUUCACAUCAGACUUAAAGGACCGCCUGCGCGCGCUUUACGCCCAAUGAUUCCGGACAACGCUUGCCACCUACGUAUUACCGCGGCGGCUGGCAC
rnacentral:misc_RNA from 1 species